rnacentral:pre_miRNA from 14 species
UUGUAAGGUUUCCUAGGUGACAUACUUUCUCUUGAAAGACCCCCAGAGCGGGGAGACCCUCACUCAAGUUUUGGGAUGAUGCGACCCCCCAAGAACUCACAAGAGACC